AGAGUUUGAUCCUGGCUCAGGAUUAACGCUGGCGGUAUGCCUAAUGCAUGCAAGUAGAACGAGUCUCGCAAGAGACUAGUUGCGAACGGCUGAGUAAUGGAUAGGAAUCUACCUAAUGGUGUGGAAUACCUCAUCGAAAGAUGGGCUAAUACCGCAUGACCUCGAAAGAGAAAAGCGCUUAACUGCGCGCCGAUAGAUGAGCCUAUCUCCCAUCAGGCUGUUGGUAGGGUAAUGGCCUACCAAACCUAUGACGGGUAGGGGGCGUGAGAGCGCGUUCCCCCAGAAUGGGACUGAGAACGGCCCAUACAACUACGGUUGGCAGCAACAGGGAAUCGUACGCAAUGGACGAAAGUCUGACGUCGCAAUACCGCGUGGAGGAUUAAGGCCUUCGGGUUGUAAACUCCUUUUACAGUAAUAGAGAUGUUAUGAGAAUA
rnacentral:rRNA from 1 species